CCAAUAUGUUUUUUUGGUGUGGAGUCUAUCAAAUUCACAAAAUGUACAAAGGACUGCUUUUUAUGAUUGUGAUAUACAGUGCAACCGGGUUCAACAUUCAACAUUCUCCCGUGAAGCAUUUCACAAAUGAUGAUCCACUCUUUGGGCAAAAUGCUAUUCAAUCAACAAAUGGAAUUUUUGUUCCUUCCCCAAGAAAUGGAAAAUGUUUCAACUACACUCUAGAAAAUGAAUGUGCUGAAGUAAAUUUUGAUG